UAUAGGAACUAGAUCUGGGAAGGAAGGUGUGGACUACAAGAAAGAUCUUGAGUGUAUUGCUCAUGGGAAAUAACCAGGUUUUACACAGCACAAACUUGAAUUCAUGGAAAAAAAUGGCAAAUUUGAGAAGUCUCCUAGUAAGCUGGAACUUUUCUGGUUUGUUUAACAAAAUGGUUUCUUGAUUUGUCUAAAAACACUUAAAGCCAAAGGCUUGGGUUCAUGACUUAGGUGUCAUUGUGUACAGGUACAAUAUUUUUAUAUGGUGAAUUUAGAUAAACAUUGGUUAAAGAUGGUGUCUGGAAAAAAAUAGGCUGUAUUAUGAAAACACUUCUGGUCUGUUCCCUGGGACAUGCUUUUAAAAUACAAUAGUAGCUACUAUGUAUGUUAUUUUCAUGUUGCUUUGGGGAAACAACAUGGUUAAGAAUGGUUUUCAAGAUGAAAUUAAAAAUUGUUCUACAAGGGUUGUCUUUGGUGUAAAAGUUUGGAGAAACUGGAUGGAUGCACUUUACAUUGCUGGUGUUGAGCUUACUAUGCUUCUCUUGUGAGAGAACAGGGCCAAGUUAUGUAUGAGUUGGUUGGUUAAUUUAAAAGAAUUACUAAUUCCCCUACCCCCAUCUGUGCUGAGGACAUUUCCCAGCCCUAGCUGGGGGAAAACAGCAUUUUCUUGAAGUGUGUGGCAUUAUCAAUGGGGAUUCAAAGUAGCAGAUCUUAAGAAAGAGGCCCUUGUCUCCGUCUAGAAUUUUCUCCAUUGGGAAGGCCUCAGGAUAGGGUUUGGAGAGAGGCUGGAAGCAAUUACCUAAUACAUUCCAAGAAUUUGCAUUUGAUGUUAAUUUGUUGCCUUAUCUGUCCUUUCCUGUUAGCUAAUGGUUCCUUUUCCUUGUUUUUGUUUUCUUUUUUUUUUCAUGUAACUAAGGUCCUCGGGAUCAAGGAUCUCGUCAUGAUUCUGGUAAGCCCAUGGUUUUUAUAUAGUAUUCACUUGGAUUUUCUUAGAAACAAAAAAUACUGCAAAAGUGGAGAGUGAUGGGAGGGGCUGUAUAAAUGCUAGAAACCCUGGAUCUGGAAGUUUAGACUUCAGAUUCUGGUAUUUAUUAUUUCUAGUACGUCGUGGGUCUUGCUUGGGAGCUGUUCUUUUAAAGUUGAUGGUGUUUUAAAGUCCAAAAAUUACUAAACCAGACAAUUUUUUACUUAUUUUUUUGGAUUUUUGAGAUGGAUUUCUCUGUAUGACUCAGAAAUCCACCUGCCUCUGCCUCCCAAGUGCUGGGAUUAAAGGCGUGCGCCACCACACCCGGACAGACAUGAUGUUUCGUACCUUUAUUCCUAACAGGAUGAUCUCUUGAGUUCAUGUCUAGGCCAUCCUGCUCUACAGAGCUAGUUCCACGACAGCCUGGGCUAUACAGAGAAACUAAACUCAGUUUUAAAAACCAAAACAAAGAAAUGCACACAUGUAAACUGUUGAGUAACAUUAGGUGGAUAAAAAGACCAGACUGAAAGAUGUGUUAAGGGAACCACUUUACUAGAUGUUUUUUGAUGGUAUUCCUAUAGGCUAUACUAUAUUUAAAUGUGAAAUUGGUCUCAUUCCUUUCUUUUGAUUUUUAGUUACAGUCAUCUACAUAAUUAUUUUGAGGCAGGAUCUCUACAUAGCCUUGGCUGUCUUGGAACUAUGUAGACCAGGCUGUUUUUAGAAUUCAGAGAUCUGGGGCUGGAGAGAUGGCUCAGUGGUUAAGAAUACUGACUGCUCUUCCAGAGGUCCUGAGUUCUAAUCCCAGCAACCACAUGGUGGCUCACAACCAUCUGUAAUGGGAUCUGAUGCCCUCUUCUGAUGUGUCUGAAGACAGCAGACAGUGCUCACAUACAGAAUU
rnacentral:lncRNA from 1 species